AGUGAACGCUGGCGGUAUGCCUAACACAUGCAAGUCGAACGGCAGCACAGUAAGAUCUUGCUCUUACGGGUGGCGAGUGGCGGACGGGUGAGGAAUACAUCGGAAUCUACUUUUUCGUGGGGGAUAACGUAGGGAAACUUACGCUAAUACCGCAUACGACCUACGGGUGAAAGCAGUGGAUCUUCGGACCUUUCGCGAUUGAAUGAGCCGAUGUCGGAUUAGCUAGUGGGCGGGGUAAAGGCCCACCAAGGAGACGAUCCGUAGCUGGUCUGAGAGGAUGAUCCGCAACACUGGAACUGAGAAACGGUCCAGACUCCUACGGGAGGCAGCAGUGGGGAAUAUUGGAAAAUGGGCGCAAGCCUGAUCCAGCCAUACCGCGUGGGUGAAGAAGGCCUUCGGGUUGUAAAGCCCUUUUGUUGGGAAAGAAAAGCAGCAGGUUAAUACCCCGCUGUUCUGACGGUACCCAAAGAAUAAGCACCGGCUAACUUCGU
rnacentral:rRNA from 1 species